GGUCUUUCUCUGGCUCUGUGGUGGAUAGCGGAGUGUUUCCCAUGUGGUAUUGGUGUGCUGGAUAUCCCUUCACUGGUAGCCUGGUAACAUAUACUCCCAGGUCUUUCUCUGGCUCUGUGGUGGAUAGUGGAGUGUUUCCCAUGUGGUAUUGGUGUGCUGGAUAUCCCCUCCCAAGGUGCAGCACUUUACAUUUUUCUUCAUUGAAUUAUAGCAGACACUGUUCCACUCCUGUAGCUUGGUGAGGUCUUCUGGUAGGAAAUUCACAGUCAAGGGUUAAACAUUGUAAUAUAAUGCCAUUUUUUUGCAUGGGAUGUGCAUUAGUACUGUGUGACCCUGAUGUGAAAGUUGUCAUGUGUGAGAGGAAUGAAAAGUUGUCAUGUUUGGUUAUUGUUCAGCAGUACAGUGAUCAGGAUCCUCCAGCAGACCAAGCACUGGGGUGCUGGAGUGUAUCUUUUUCUUUAUUUACAAGUCUUUGCCGAACUGAAGGGCUUGCUCAACAGUUAUUUAGCAAGACUGAAUUAGUUUCCAUUCUUGUUUCCAGUGUAUUCAUGGACACAUAAAGAGGUGAAGCUUGUGGUUGUUGCAGCGUCUUUUUCUUGUUUCCACAAACACUGUUUUCAACUUUCUUCUGCAGAGACUUCCAGCGCUGGGCCCGGCCGCUGCAAGCCAUGUUGGGUCAGUGUGUGGGAAGUCGCCAAGGUGGAGUUUGAGGCGCUCGGCCUCAACCAUGAGGGCUGUGUGAGCGGCAGGCUGGCCAUGAGCCUUCCAGGGAGUGCUGGGCAGCCUGGUGCCCCGGCUGAAGGCAAGUGGCCACCCUGAGACACCCAAAGAUUGGCUGACACAAGAUCUUGUGCUGGUACUGGUGGCUGAAGGCUGUGCAGUGGUGCGGACACAGGCUCAGAGCGCCCAGGUGGACCAAGGCUCUGAUACUGGUUGCCACCUGCCUGGGAGCAGACUCACAGAGGCCAGCGCAGGGCAGCAGGACAGCUCCCUCAGCAGUGAUGAGGAGUCUCUCCAUGAAGGCUGUCCCUCAAGGCACAGCAGCAGGCCACCGUCGCCCUUGUCAUUGGGAGCACCGAGCGUAUCCCGAGGAACACUUCAAUGUCCAGGUGUGAUGAUGUCAAGUCACCACAAGCCAGGAGGGAAGUGGCUGCUGGGGCCAAGACAGCAGGUGAAGCAGAACCCUUAAGCCUCAGCUCUUCACCCCUGGACGAAGGACGUGUUUCUUGGCGGACAAACUCGGGAGUCACCAGGAAAGACCUCGAUAGAUGAAGCAAGUUUUGCUCGCUGGAGACCACAAGAGCGUUCACCCGUGCCUCACUGUGGGUGAGGAGAGCAGCCUGGACCAGCUCCCAAGAGGUAUGUUUAACAGUGAGUCAUGCACACAGGCAGGAAGCAGCACUACAGUCACCAGGAUAAAUUUUACAUAAAACUGGCUACAGAAUACUGCUGCUGGCCAGAAUGGAGGUCAGGCUUAAGCAGGAUCCCAGCAAGGUGCUCUCUUUACUUCUUUGUGUGAUUUUGAAAACACUUCAGCAGCCGAGGGGAACGCUCAAGAGAAAGUGUCAUUUCUAUGCAAACCUUCCUGCAGGGGUGAGCUGAAAGGUGAAAAUGUAGUUACCACGACUCCUUUAAGAAGAGACACCAUUAGUAGUUUGUCUGGAGAGGAAAGCUUCACCAGUCAUGCUGCUUGUACAGGGGAGAAGACUUCAGUGUUGUCCUCCAAGCCUCUUUGCAAUGGGUACUCUGGAUCAAGCAGCAGACCAAGUGUCUUGUGUGUGUGUGUGUGUGUGUGUGUGUGUGUGUGUGUGUGUGUGUCUGGCUGGCUGGUGACCGAGUACAAUGCUUUACAUCUUUCAGGGAAGGACACAUGAUCUCCCUUCCAUCACACUUGCACAUUCUGCCUGAUUCUUCUCUUUCCUCCUCAUGGCCUUCAACGUUUCCCAAUAGAAAGUCUUCACAAGAAGCAAAGUUACUAAAAAUCACAGUAUAUUAUUAGAAAUAACUUUUAUUUUUACUUACAGAGCCAGAUGUCUUUUUAUGUAACUGAGAUGAAUUUUUAUUAUAUUUUUUACAACAAAGGAGACAGUUCAAGGGCAUAAAAAAAUAAUAAUGAAAAAAAAGCCCGCUACUUGCUGCUCCUGAAUGGAGUAAAGAGGAGUGACCAUAAAGAGAGGUCAAUUUCGGGAGGAGAGGUGUCCUGAUACCCUCCUCUUGAAAGAGUUCAAGUCGUAGGCAGGAGGAAAUACAGAUGAAGGAAGAUUGUUCCAGAGUUUACCAGCGUGAGGGAUGAAAGAGUGAAGAUGCUGGUUAACUCUUGUAUAAGGGACAGUAUAGGGAUGAGCUUGAUUAGAAAGUCAUGUGAGGCAAGGCCGCGGGAGGGGGGGAGGCAUGCAGUUAGCAAGUUCAGAAGAGCAGUCAGCGUGAAAAUAUCGAUAGAAGACGGAAAGAAAGGCAAUUUAUUUAUAUGUGGCCAUAGCAGUUGGAGUGGUAGUAGUAGUAGUAGUAGUAGUAGUAGUAGUAGCAACAACAGCAGAAAUAGCAGUAAUAUAGUAGUUGUAAUAAUUGUAGUAGUAGUAGUAGUAGUAGUAAUAGCAGUAAUGAUUUAAGUAUUGGUACAGUGAAACCAUUUUAGCUUCCUUGGGUCCUUUCCUCCCAUCCACCUUGCCACACAAUCCCAACACCUGUCCCUUCCUCUCAUGUGCUAGCUACAGGCAACACAUGAGAGGAAAAAAUAGGUGUUGGGACUGUGUGGCAGAGCAGAGGGGAGGAAAGGACCCUUGAUGAACCAACGCCCCAAUGGACUCGCUAAAAUGGUUGAUAUUGCAUGC